rnacentral:rRNA from 1 species
UACAGAGGUCUCAAGCGUUGUUCGGAUUCAUUGGGCGUAAAGGGUGCGUAGGCGGCGCGGUAAGUCGGGUGUGAAAUCUCGGAGCUUAACUCCGAAACUGCAUUCGAUACUGCCGUGCUUGAGGACUGGAGAGGAGACUGGAAUUUACGGUGUAGCGGUGAAAUGCGUAGAUAUCGUAAGGAAGACCAGUGGCGAAGGCGGGUCUCUGGGCCUUACCUGACGCUCAGGCGCGAAAGCUAGGGGAGCGAACAGG